rnacentral:lncRNA from 14 species
GGCAGCUUCUCCUGCAUUUGACAUUAUCUGAAGUGAGAGAGAGUCAUUUGUCUUUGUUUCCACCUCAGGUGACUUCUGCCCCUUCCCUUGUGAUGGUUUCCACCCUCAGUCACUAGCUGGAAUUAACUGGAAUCCAGGCUGCCCAUUCUAACCCAGACGCUAAGGACAGGAGGAUAUGGGAAACAAACUGGGACACUCACUGUUGAGAGGCUGUUGAGACUGAAGCUCAUUGACAAGGCCUGCUCCCAACAAAAGGGUUUCAAGAAGAAGGUAAAACUCUGCUAGAAAUAAAGAUUCUCCUCAGGGUCCUUGGACAUAAUCACUAUUAAGCAACGGGAAGUGAAUUUACACUCAAGUCUCCAUCUUGGCUUAUGUGUUCAUACAUUUCAGGAGCAAAUACCAUCUACAGCUAUGACUCUUCAGUUGCUACACAUGAGAACAAAAUGAUGACUGUUUCACUGUGGGCUUUCUUGUCUGUUG